rfam:Triticum aestivum genome assembly, contig: Triticum_aestivum_CS42_TGACv1_scaffold_249521_3DL
CAUCUACUCCCUCUGUCCGAAAAACCUUGUCCCUCAAAUGGAUGUAUCUAGCACCUGAAAAAGCUUGUCCCUUAAAUGGAUGUAUCUAGCACCAGGUGCUAGAUACAUCCAUUUGAAGGACAAGCUUUUUCGGACGGAGGGAGUAUGUA